UACGGGGGGGGCAAGCGUUGUUCGGAAUUACUGGGCGUAAAGGGCUUGUAGGCGGCCAACUAAGUCAGACGUGAAAUCCCCGGGCUCAACCCGGGAACUGCGUCCGAUACUGGGAGGCUUGAAUCCGGGAGAGGGAUGUGGAAUUCCAGGUGUAGCGGUGAAAUGCGUAGAUAUCUGGAGGAACACCGGUGGCGAAGGCGGCAUCCUGGACCGGUAUUGACGCUGAGGCGCGAAAGCCAGGGGAGCAAACGGG
rnacentral:rRNA from 1 species